GGCCACAGCCAUAUCACCCAGCAGCUCAAGGCCGGUUACUUACUGAAGCUAAGCAGGGCUGAACCUGGUCAGUAUCUGGAUGGGAGACGACAUGGGAAAACUAGGUUGCUGUUAGAA
rnacentral:rRNA from 1 species